UCAAAUUCAAAACGCAAAACUUAUCCCAUCUAUUUCGUGGCACUCUCAAAACCCAAAAACACAUUUCUGCCAAACAUCGAAAUACCGUCAAACCCUCAAACCCUUCCCUGUUUCCCAAUGAAAUCCAAAACCCAAUUCUCUCCUCUUGCCUGAUGUCACCGGAGUUUUCCCUAUCUCGCUAGCGUCCGAAGCUCACCGGAGUCUGAUACCAUACUGACGCCUAACUCCCGUCUUCCCUUCACGUUUCCUUCGCUUUGCGUGCUACUGGUCCUGCUUCUGUUCAGUACUCCUGCAGCUACUUGACCGGAAAACGCCGCCUACUGCCAUCGCCUCAUCGAGUGCGCGCAACACCAGACCAGUAACCAGCCUCUCCGAAGCUCCGUUGCUGAAGCUUUAAAAACCUCUUGAUCUCUCUGUUCUUCGCUGCUAUCUUAGCAGAGGUAAUUGUUGGAGGAUGAUUUUUGAGUGAAGAAGCAUUCGGAAUGAUGAAGUUGAUUGUGUUGUUGGAAUUGGAUUGCGGUUCAGGUUUGCUAUUCAGAGUUCGGAAUCGGAAGUGGAGCUAGAUUAUAAUGUCGUUGUAGAUUAUGGAUUAAGUUUGUAUUUAGAUAGUUGAUUCAGGAAUAGUUAUUUAUAUUUCAUUGUAUCCAAUAUCUGCGAAUAUUAGUCGAGUUAUUGGUGUAAUUAAGGUUAUUUUCUGCUGU